rnacentral:rRNA from 1 species
UGGAGGGGGGAGUAGACCCUGGGAAACCCGGGGGUAAUACCGCAUAAGCUAAAGAGAACGCAUGUUCUCAUUAGGAAAGGCUCUAUGAAGAAGUAGAGUUGUCAGAGGAAGGCUUUGCGGCCUAUCAGGUAGUUGGUGGGGUAACGGCCUACCAAGCCAAAGACGGGUAGCUGGUCUGAGAGGACGAUCAGCCACACUGGGACUGAGAUACGGCCCAG